rnacentral:lncRNA from 1 species
CUGGCUUCAUCAGUUUCAGUGGCUGGGAGAACCUGAAGUUGAUGGACUUCUCCCAGCUGUCACUCUCAAGGAGAAGCAUGGUCUUGAUUCCUACCUCACAACUACCAAACACAAGCCUGAGGGGUCCCCCGCUUGGCCUGGACCUCGGUCUCAUCUCAGGGGAUCAGGACUCAGCAAAGGCUGUCCUCGCUGUCCUCACCACCCACGAAGGCAUGUAAUCGUCAUGUUUUCCUUUCCCAUUGAUUCCUUUUUGUCGUGACCUUCUGUACCUACCUAAGGUAACUUAGUUUGUGUUUUUCAAGCUGAUUGUUGGUUAAUUUAUUCAGUCGGUGUUUCUUAGAAAAGGCUCAUUGGAGACUCAUAAAAACCAGCACUACUCUAAAAUAACAAAUGAACUUCUAGUUAAUGCCUGACUACCUCCAACUCGUGUUCCUAACCUUGGGUCUUGGAGAAACCAGUUAACAGCUCUGGGUCUCAUUUCCUCCUGUCUGAUGAUAGUGACGGUGACAGUGGUUGUCUCAACCAAGCUACCUACAGUCAGAGCCUGAGACAGGUAUUCCUGUUCAAGCGACUGAGUGAGGUGCCCUCAGGGGUUAGGAAGUGAG